rnacentral:tRNA from 1 species
GGGGGUGUAGCUCAGCUGGGAGAGCGACGGCUUUGCAAGCCGUAGGUCGUCGGUUCGAUCCCGAUCACCUCCACCA